rnacentral:lncRNA from 1 species
AUUUUAUUUGCAAAUACUUUGAAGUUUAAAAAAGAACAAAAGUUUUUUUUUGUGAUGGAGUCUCACUAUAUUUGCCAAGGUUAGCCUCAAACUCUUUGGCUCAAGUGAUCCUCGUAACUCAGCCUCCCAGGUAGUUGGGAUCACAGACACUUGCCACUGCACCUAGCUUCCUUCAUGACCCAUUUUGAGUUGGCUCCAGCCUAACGCUGUGCCAAAUACUUCUUCCUUUGUCCACUGUUUCUAAAUAAAUGAGCCUCUUUGUUAAUAGCCUGGUAAUUAAAAAAUAAUUCUCAUUUUAUCCCAUGAGAUGGGGUAGGAAAAAUGAAUUCCAUUCUCCCACCCUUAGACUCAUCUGGGCAGGUCAGAGCCUAUCUGAGGUGAGCAAUUCAGUCAGAGUUUAUGUGAGCAGUUUCACUGUGAGGAGAGAGAAUUAAAGCCUGUGGGUGUCCCCAGACCCUUUCUCGCUGUCCUGGCCAACUCACUUCUCUCACGGUAUAAUCUUGGGAAGUCAUUUUCCUCCUUCUUAGAGUAAGACUGAAUGUUGGAAGAGUGGAAAAGGCUCCGUGACUGGUGGUUUGUAGCCAGUAGAGAGAAGGACAAAAGGGUCCUGCAUAUCCGUCAUGCUUCCUGUCCUCUUCUUUUUCCCUUUCCUGUUGUUGCCCCUCAUACUCCCUGAUGUCAUUCCUGCCAUUGUGAGCUGGCAGGCCCUCCGGGACAGCCAUAAGGAGGGAGGGAGGUAGAGCUGCAGGAGGUGGGGGAAGCAGUGGUCACAAUGGCAACACCUUGGAGUUGGGCUGGGUCUGCAAGGAGCC